UGGCGAACGGGUGAGUAACACGUGGGUGAUCUGCCCUGCACUUCGGGAUAAGCCUGGGAAACUGGGUCUAAUACCGGAUAGGACGAUGGUUUGGAUGCCAUUGUGAAAAGUUUUUCGGUGUGGGAUGAGCUCGCGGCCUAUCAGCUUGUUGGUGGGGUAAUGGCCUACCAAGGCGUCGACGGGUAGCCGGCCUGAGAGGGUGUACGGCCACAUUGGGACUGAGAUACGGCCCAG
rnacentral:rRNA from 1 species